AAAUCAAUUUACCAAAAAUUCUGAAAUUUCGGGAAAUUUUUGUACAUAAGUAAAGUACCAUUUCAACAAAUUAAGUUUAAAAAUUAUCACUUCUAGGUGGUUUAUUAACCAGACCGAAAAAAAAAAAAAACCAACAACGAGAGGGGGUCUUAGAUCGAUCACUGGGGCACUGCACUUUCCCCUUUGUAGUCCAUACACAGAGUAACCUUUGCAACUGCUGCUUUGGAAAUACAUUCUUUGUUUGACUUAAAAUGUAACCCCUCCCUACCGCCAAAUAUUAUUAAGGUUUAAAGUUUAGGCAGAAGCUAAGGUUUUAACGAUGUGUCAGGUUGUGGAACCAUUGACAGCUGGUGGAAUACUUUCCAUUUUGGUUACUGGAAACAAGCAAUUAAAUAUAAUAUCAAUUUUGAAAAUUUCGCUUCAACAAAAGUGUCAAAUAAUGAGAUUCAUGGAGUUUUUUCUAGUAGUUCUGGAGAACUUGUGGAGAAAAAUUCAUGAAUCUUAGUAGUUAACGAAAAGUAUAUAGCUUUUCCAUUUACUUUAAAAAAACAUAGUAUUAUAUAACUUCCCCACAUGGUUAUUAAAAGAAAUUGCACUUUCUAACUUCUAAAACCAUAAAUUAUUGUGUAAAACAUGUAGGUAAGCCAUAUAUUUUAAAUAUUUUUAAAAGCUGUCUCAACAUGGGCUCUGACUAUUGAGAAAAAAAGAUAAAGUAAUGUGAAAUCCGUUUUCCCAAAUGAGAAUCAAUGAGUCAACAGUUUGCAGUUUCCAGAAGUGAUAUCUCUUUUGCAUGCUUGAACUAUUAAAUAAGCAAAUAUCUUUGAUGGAAAAUCCAAUGUUACCAAAUGUGUUGCAGAAGACUGUUAGUAUUGAUGCAAAGCAUGAUUCCUUUAACUUCUUUCCAUGGUAACUAGUUUUAUCACUGUUUUUCAGUGGGAGUUGCAGAGCAUGAAAAUGAUUUUGCAAGACUUUUCCAGGUCAUGAGGUGCUCUCUCAGAAAUUUCUUCUGCUCCCUAAAGCGAGACGGGGUUUCACUAUGUUGACCAGGAUGCUCUCGAUCCCUUGACCUCAUGAUCCACCCGCCUCGGCCUCCCAAAGUGCUGGGAUUAUAGGCGUGAGCCACCGCACCCGGCCUAAAAUCUUAUAAUUCUUAAUGAUAUAGUUCAUAUAUUGGUAUAGACUAGUUUUUGUUUUCUUUUCUUUCUGUCUUUUUUUAAUUUUUUUUUGAGAUAGGGUCUCAACUGUUAGCUAAGGCUAGAGUGCAGUGGUUCAUUCAAGGCUCACUGCAGCCUUAAUCUCUUGAGCUCAAGUGAUUCUCCUGCCUCAGCCUCCCAGAAGCUGGACUACAGCCACAUGCUGCCACACCUGGCUAAUUAUGUAUUACUUGUAGAGAGGGUAAUCUCCCUAGGUUGCCUAGGGUGGUCUUAAACUCCUAGGCUCAAGAGAUCCUCCCACCUCACCAGCUCCCUCACAAAGUGCUGAGAUUACAUGUGUGAGCCACUGUGUAUGGCCUAGAAUAGUUUUCUUAGCCCUAAACUUUAGGAAAAUAUAUGUCUGAUUCUUUUACUAUUAUAAGCAACACUGCUUUAACCUUCUUGAACAAAUUACUCUUUGGGAUAAUAAGUGAUGGAAAUAUUUUCUUGGGAUAUAUUUUUAAAAGUGGGUUGUUAAAAUUAAAAGAAAUUUUAUUUUUCUGUUUA